rnacentral:rRNA from 1 species
CAGAAACUCAAAGGAAUUGACGGGGCCCGGCACAAGCGGUGGAGUAUGUGGUUUAAUUCGAUGCAACGCGAAGAACCUUACCUGGUCUUGACAUCCCGGAGACCCUUAGGAAACUAGGGGGUGCUUCCAUCUGGAAGAAUCUGGAGACAGGUGCUGCAUGGCUGUCGUCAGCUCGUGUCGUGAGAUGUUGGGUUAAGUCCCGCAACGAGCGCAACCCUUGCCUUUAGUUGCCAGCAGUUCGGCUGGGCACUCUAAAGGGACUGCCGGUGUUAAACCGGAGGAAGGUGGGGAUGACGUCAAGUCCUCAUGGCCUUUAUGACCAGGGCUACACACGUACUACAAUGGCCGAUACAAAGGGCAGCGACACUGCGAGGUGAAGCCAAUCCCGUAAAAUCGGUCUCAGUCCGGAUUGGAGUCUGCAACUCGACUCCAUGAAGUUGGAAUCGCUAGUAAUCGUGGAUCAGCAUGCCACGGUGAAUACGUUCCCGGGCCUU